rnacentral:rRNA from 1 species
UACGGGGGGAGCAAGCGUUGUUCGGAUUUACUGGGCGUAAAGGGCGCGUAGGCGGUCAGCACAAGUCAGUUGUGAAAUCUCCGGGCUUAACUCGGAAAGGUCAACUGAUACUGUGCGACUAGAGUGCGGAAGGGGCAACUGGAAUUCUUGGUGUAGCGGUGAAAUGCGUAGAUAUCAAGAGGAACACCUGCGGCGAAGGCGGGUUGCUGGGCCGACACUGACGCUGAGGCGCGAAAGCGUGGGGAGCAAACAGG